rnacentral:rRNA from 1 species
CCGUCAGCGCCGAUGGUACUGCCACUAGGUGGGAGAGUAGGUCGCCGCCUUCU